AUUGAACGCUGGCGGCAUGCCUUACACAUGCAAGUCGAACGGCAGCACGGGAGCAAUCCUGGUGGCGAGUGGCGAACGGGUGAGUAAUAGAUCGGAACGUGCCCAGUCGUGGGGGAUCACGUAGCGACAGCUACGCUAAUACCGCAUACGAUCUAUGGACGAAAGCGGGGGAUCGCAAGACCUCGCGCGAUUGGAGCGGCCGAGAUCAGAUUAGGUAGUUGGUGAGGUAAAGGCUAACCAAGCCGACGAUCUGUAGCUGGCCUGAGAGGACGACCAGCCACACUGGGACUGAGACACGGCCCAGACUCCUACGGGAGGCAGCAGUGGGGAAUUUUGGACAAUGGGCGCAAGCCUGAUCCAGCAAUGCCGCGUGCAGGAUGAAGGCCUUCGGGUUGUAAACUGCUUUUGUACGGAACGAAACGGCGAGCUCUAAUACAGUUUGCUAAUGACGGUACCGUAAGAAUAAGCACCGGCUAACUACGUGCCAGCCGCCGCCGUAA
rnacentral:rRNA from 1 species